AAAUCUUUCUCCUUUCUUGUUUUCUUUCUUGUCUGCGUCCGUCAGAGCGUUUAGAUUUUCUUGUUUUUUUCCUGGAAUUCCCACAGAGUUCUUGGAAUACAUCCUUCAGCACAUUUUAUAGAUUCUUCUUGGUUAUUCCUUGGUCAGAUCACACAAAUGUGCAGAAAUUCAAACACUAACUACUGUAUUUGGUUAUAAACCAGCCUUCACAGAUGUACUGUCC